GAUGAACGCUGGCGGCGUGCCUAAUACAUGCAAGUCGAGCGAACAGACGAGGAGCUUGCUCCUCUGACGUUAGCGGCGGACGGGUGAGUAACACGUGGAUAACCUACCUAUAAGACUGGGAUAACUUCGGGAAACCGGAGCUAAUACCGGAUAAUAUAUUGAACCGCAUGGUUCAAUAGUGAAAGACGGUUUUGCUGUCACUUAUAGAUGGAUCCGCGCCGCAUUAGCUAGUUGGUAAGGUAACGGCUUACCAAGGCAACGAUGCGUAGCCGACCUGAGAGGGUGAUCGGCCACACUGGAACUGAGACACGGUCCAGACGCCUACGGGAGGCAGCGGUAGGGAAUCUUCCGCAAUGGGCGAAAGCCUGACGGAGCAACGCCGCGUGAGUGAUGAAGGGCUUCGGAUCGUAAAACGCUGUUAUUAGGGAAGAACAAAUGUGUAAGUAACGAUGCACGUCUUGACGGUACCGAAUCAGAAAGCCACGGCUAACUACGU
rnacentral:rRNA from 1 species